rnacentral:tRNA from 1 species
GUUAAUGUAGCUUACAUAAAGUGUGGCACUGAAAAUGCUAAGACAGAUUUUUAAACAUCUCAUGAACA